rnacentral:rRNA from 1 species
UACAGAGGGUGCGAGCGUUAAUCGGAAUUACUGGGCGUAAAGCGUGCGUAGACGGUUUCGUAAGUCGGAUGUGAAAUCCCCGGGCUCAACCUGGGAAUUGCAUUCGAGACUGCGAGGCUAGGGUGCGGAAGAGGGAAGCGGAAUUUCCGGUGUAGCGGUGAAAUGCGUAGAUAUCGGAAGGAACAUCAGUGGCGAAAGCGGCUUCCUGGUCCAGCACCGACGUUCAGGCACGAAAGCGUGGGGAG